rnacentral:rRNA from 1 species
UACAGAGGUGGCAAGCGUUGUUCGGAAUUACUGGGCGUAAAGGGCGCGUAGGCGGUUCGUUAAGUCCUGUGUGAAAUCCCCCGGCUCAACUGGGGAACUGCACAGGAAACUAGCGGGCUUGAGUUCGGGAGGGGGAAGCGGAAUUCCCAGUGUAGCGGUGAAAUGCGUAGAUAUUGGGAGGAACACCUGCGGCGAAGGCGGCUACCUGGACAGAAACUGACGCUGAAACACGAAAGCGUGGGUAGCAAACAGG